rnacentral:rRNA from 1 species
ACCUACGGGGGGCAGCAGUGAGGAAUAUCGGUCAAUGGCCGAGAGGCUGAACCAGCCAAGUCGCGUGAGGGAUGACGGCCCUACGGGUUGUAAACCUCUUUUGUCGGGGAGCAAGACCCGCCACGAGUGGCGGAGCGAGAGUACCCGAAGAAAAAGCAUCGGCUAACUCCGUGCCAGCAGCCGCGGUAAUACGGAGGAUGCGAGCGUUAUCCGGAUUUAUUGGGUUUAAAGGGAGCGUAGGUGGAUUGUUAAGUCAGUUGUGAAAGUUUGCGGCUCAACCGUAAAAUUGCAGUUGAAACUGGCAG